rnacentral:rRNA from 1 species
UACGUAGGGGGCAAGCGUUAUCCGGAAUUACUGGGUGUAAAGGGAGCGUAGACGGUAAUGUAAGUCUGGAGUGAAAGGCGGGGGCCCAACCCCCGGACUGCUCUGGAAACUAUGUUACUAGAGUGCAGGAGAGGUAAGCGGAAUUCCUAGUGUAGCGGUGAAAUGCGUAGAUAUUAGGAGGAGCACCAGUGGCGAAGGCGGCUUACUGGACUGUAACUGACGUUGAGGCUCGAAAGCGUGGGGAGCAAACAGG